rnacentral:rRNA from 1 species
ACAGGUGCUGCGUGGCUGUCGUCAGCUCGUGUCGUGAGAUGUUGGGUUAAGUCCGUAACGAGCGCAACCCUUGUCCUUAGUUACCAGCACGUUAUGGUGGGCACUCUAAGGAGACUGCCGGUGACAAACCGGAGGAAGGUGGGGAUGACGUCAAGUCAUCAUGGCCCUUACGGCCUGGGCUACACACGUGCUACAAUGGUCGGUACAAAGGGUUGCCAAGCCGCGAGGUGGAGCUAAUCCCAUAAAACCGAUCGUAGUCCGGAUCGCAGUCUGCAACUCGACUGCGUGAAGUCGGAAUCGCUAGUAAUCGUGAAUCAGAAUGUCACGGUGAAUACGUUCCCGGGCCUU